rnacentral:rRNA from 1 species
UUGAAACUUUGUUCACUCCUUACGGGGGAGACAGUCAUGAGACGUGAGUAUAAGACCUGAGUGUAAAGACCUUAGGGUGAAGCAAUUGGAGGGCAAGCUUUGGUGCCAGCAGCCGCGGUAACUCCAACUCCAAGAGUGUCUAUGGUGGAUGCUGCAGUUAAAGGGUCCGUAGUCGUGAAUGCAAUUAAAUGUCGUUGUUCAAUAGCGAUGAGUUUGCUAAUGUUUGCGGAACGGAUAGGGAGUGUAGUAUAGACUGGCGAAGAAUGAAAUCUCAAGACCCAGUUUGGACUAACGGAGGCGAAGGCGACACUCUUAGACGUAUCUUAGGAUCAAGGACGAAGGCAGGAGUAUCGAAAGUGAUUAGACACCGCUGUAGUUCCUGCAGUAAACUAUGCCGACAGCCUGUGUGUGAGAAUACGUGGGCGGGAGAAAUCUUAGUGUUCGGGCUCUGGGGAUAGUACGCUCGCAAGGGUGAAACUUAAAGCGAAAUUGACGGAAGGACACUACCAGGAGUGGAUUGUGCUGCUUAAUUUAACUCAACGCGGGAAAACUUACCAGGGUCAAGUCAUUCGUUGAUCGAAUACGUGAGAAUGGCAGGAGGGGUUGCAUGGAAGGGG